rnacentral:rRNA from 1 species
UACGUAGGGUGCGAGCGUUAAUCGGAAUUACUGGGCGUAAAGCGUGCGCAGGCGGCGCGUUAAGACAGGUGUGAAAGCCCCGAGCUUAACUUGGGAAUUGCGCUUGUGACUGGCGUGCUGGAGUGUGGCAGAGGGAGGUGGAAUUCCACGUGUAGCAGUGAAAUGCGUAGAGAUGCGGAGGAACACCGAUGGCGAAGGCAGCCCCCUGGGCUAGCACUGACGCUGAGGUGCGAAAGCGUGGGGAGCAAACAGG